GACGAACGCUGGCGGCGUGCUUAACACAUGCAAGUCGAACGAAGUGGCGAACGGGUGAGUAAUACGUGGGUAACCUGCCCUCCUUUUUGGGAUACGCCUUGGAAACGGGGUCUAAUACCGAAUCAAGGGGGCUGGGCUCGCGGCCUAUCAGCUUGUUGGUGGGGUGAUGGCCUACCAAGGCGGGGACGGGUAGUCGGCCUGAGAGGGUGACCGGCCACAUUGGGACUGAGAUACGGCCCAGACUCCGACGGGAGGAAGCAGUGGGGGAUAUUGCACAAUGGGCGAAAGCCUGAUGCAGCCAUGCCGCGUGUAUGAAGAAGGCCUUCGGGUUGUAAAGUACUUUCAGCGGGGAGGCGUUACCCGCAGAAGAAGCACCGGCUAACUCCGUGCCAGCAGCCGCGGUAAUUC
rnacentral:rRNA from 1 species